GAACGCUUGGCGGCGCGCCUAACACAUGCAAGUCGAACGAGCGAGAGAGAGCUUGCUUUCUUGAGCGAGUGGCGAACGGGUGAGUAACGCGUGAGGAACCUGCCUCAAGGAGGGGGACAACAGUUGGAAACGACUGCUAAUACCGCAUAAGCCCACAGCUCGGCAUCGAGCAGAGGGAAAAGGAGCAAUCCGCUUUGAGAUGGCCUCGCGUCCGAUUAGCUAGUUGGUGAGGUAACGGCCCACCAAGGCAACGAUCGGUAGCCGGACUGAGAGGUUGAACGGCCACAUUGGGACUGAGACACGGCCCAGACUCCUACGGGAGGCAGCAGUGGGGAAUAUUGCACAAUGGGGGAAACCCUGAUGCAGCGACGCCGCGUGGAGGAAGAAGGUCUUCGGAUUGUAAACUCCUGUUGUUGAGGAAGAUAAUGACGGUACUCAACAAGGAAGUGACGGCUAACUACGUGCCAGCAGCCGCGGUAAAACGUAGGUCACAAGCGUUGUCCGGAAUUACUGGGUGUAAAGGGAGCGCAGGCGGGAAGACAAGUUGGAAGUGAAAUCUAUGGGCUCAACCCAUAAACUGCUUUCAAAACUGUUUUUCUUGAGUAGUGCAGAGGUAGGCGGAAUUCCCGGUGUAGCGGUGGAAUGCGUAGAUAUCGGGAGGAACACCAGUGGCGAAGGCGGCCUACUGGGCACCAACUGACGCUGAGGCUCGAAAGUGUGGGUAGCAAACAGGAUUAGAUACCCUGGUAGUCCACACCGUAAACGAUGAUUACUAGGUGUUGGAGGAUUGACCCCUUCAGUGCCGCAGUUAACACAAUAAGUAAUCCACCUGGGGAGUACGACCGCAAGGUUGAAACUCAAAGGAAUUGACGGAAGGGC
rnacentral:rRNA from 1 species